UCAGCCAUGUUCAGAACAUGGGUCCACUGGGGGAAAGAUUUGGUGAGUAGUGGUGACGUCAGGCCGUCUGGUUAAGUAGCCAAUAUAAAAAAAAUCCUAGCUGGAGGCGCAUUUCCUCGAAACAGCAGAACUUGCCCGACUUGCUGUCGGUGCACAUAUACUGUGUUGAAAAGGGAUAAAUGGGCCCAAAAUCUGUCUUCUCCAGCAGGUGGCGUUUUUUCGAUUUUUUUUUUUCGCUCACCAAGCGAGGAGUUUUUAUAUGGAGGUCAAUGAGAGGGUGUCAAAUUUGGUUAACAAAAAAUGUAAUGGCUUAUUUGCUACGUGCGGCUUUUGAUUGAAUAUGUUCCUUAAUGCUUCGGUUGUUAAGUGUACUGAUAUAAGUAGGACACGUGACAUCCCGGGAACUUUGAGAAAAAAAACACUUUAUAUAGGCGUUGUGCCUGUUAUCGCGUUCGUAUCUGCCCUCUCAUUGGCUAGAAUGGUCCACCUGUCUUGCCUCUUCCCGACUGCACUCCAUUUUAAAGACAUUUAUUUUCAUUGUUAGAGUGGCCAAUGGAGUAUCUGGCCAAUAUAAUGGAUAAUCUGUGAUAUGUACCUUCAUCGACUUUAUUCGUCGACUUCCGUCUACAGUCGGCUACUUUCGGUUUACCACUCAAACGCACGCAGUGCCUACAAGUGUGAAGUACUGGAGAAGCUUAGUUUCUGUAUUGUCCAUACUAUUCGGGGAUGCUUGGUCAGAGCAGCUGGGAUCUUUCCUAUUUCCCUACAGCAGCAUCAGUGUGAAAGUACAAGUAUGAGUCAGGCAAGGACAAUGAGUUUGGAAGAGGAAAUCAGGGGCCUCUCACCAGUUGCAGCACAUGCCCUGGCAUGUGCUGAAAUUACAGAUGACAUUGAAAUUCAAGAGUUAACAAGAGCAGAUCUGAACGAACUUCUGCCAGGCGUUCAGCAUUUUAAACUUAGAAAGAAGAUCAGUGAACUUAUAAACAAAUCUAAACAGGACACAGCUAAACCUAUUGCUUUAGUUCUUAACGAGCUGAAGGAAUUCCUUCCAGUUGAUGUCAUGGAGAAUGCACUUGUUCCUGGGGGAGUAUUACAUGGCUACUUACCUAUUCUUAGAGAUUUGGAGAAGCAGCUGGGCAAAGCCCUGCACUUCAUUCAGGCACAUGUUGGUUUGCUCCAGAGCUACAUUGGAGAAGAGUCCAUGGAGGCUCAGAGCAGUGCUGCAUCUCCAUCAGUUGACUCUGCUACAGCAGGAAACCAGCCAUCAAAUGUUGCAGGUGCUGACACCCAGUUACAAAGAGGAAUAACAGGAGCUCCUCAAAGUUCCACUGGUAGUGGGUUGACCGAGCCACAAGGCAAUCUAUUGAAAUCACACUCCGCUCAUCCUUCAGGAGCAGGUGGGAACCAGCUUUCUGUAACAUCCUACACAGGUCAAUAUCAAAUCCUAAAAAAAUGUCUAUGUCAUCAAAUCCUUUAA
rnacentral:lncRNA from 1 species